rnacentral:pre_miRNA from 1 species
AUCAGUCGUUAAUCUAGAGUCUAUGGAGGAUUAGGGUUGGACCCCUACGCCUCCAUAGAUUCUAGAUUAACGCCUACU